GAAAUGCGAUACGUAAUGCGAAUUGCAGAAUUCAGUGAAUCAUCGAAUCUUUGAACGCAAAUUGCGCUCUCGGGUUACCCCCAAGAGCACACCUCUCUGAGUGUCGGUUUAACCAAAUGUUACCAAUUUAUUGGUUGCGACUGUCUGAGGGUAAGGGGCCUGGCCUUUUUCCCUUUAAAUCCCAGCGCACGACUGUGUGUGUUCGUGGCAAGUUGCUUUCAGUUAAUUCUGAAUUCAAUCCACAGACCCUAUGUCGAGUUGCAAAAGAAACAUAUGAAGCAAGGGAGCGAGCGAAUGAAUUUAUUCAUAAGUUCGCGCCUGCGCAUCAUCUUUGAAUUAGACCUCAGAUGAAGUGGGAAGACCCCCUGAAUUUAA
rnacentral:misc_RNA from 1 species